rnacentral:rRNA from 1 species
GACGAACGCUGGCGGCGUGCCUAAUACAUGCAAGUCGAACGAGAGCGACCGGUGCUUGCACUGGUCAAUCUAGUGGCGAACGGGUGAGUAACACGUGGGUAACCUGCCCAUCAGAGGGGGAUAACAUUCGGAAACGGAUGCUAAAACCGCAUAGGUUCUUUAGUCGCAUGACUGAAGAAGGAAAAGAGGCUUCGGCUUCUGCUGAUGGAUGGACCCGCGGUGCAUCAGCUAGUUGGUGAGGUAACGGCUCACCAAGGCGAUGAUGCAUAGCCGACCUGAGAGGGUGAUCGGCCACAUUGGGACUGAGACACGGCCCAAACUCCUACGGGAGGCAGCAGUAGGGAAUCUUCCGCAAUGGACGCAAGUCUGACGGAGCAACGCCGCGUGAGUGAAGAAGGAUUUCGGUUCGUAAAACUCUGUUGUUAGAGAAGAACAGCGCAUAGAGUAACUGUUAUGCGUGUGACGG